GACGAACGCUGGCGGCGUGCUUGACACAUGCAAGUCGAACGGAAAGGCCCUGCUUUUGUGGGGUGCUCGAGUGGCGAACGGGUGAGUAACACGUGAGUAACCUGCCCUUGACUUUGGGAUAACUUCAGGAAACUGGGGCUAAUACCGGAUAGGAUCUCCUGCUGCAUGGUGGGGGUUGGAAAGUUUCGGCGGUUGGGGAUGGACUCGCGGCUUAUCAGCUUGUUGGUGGGGUAGUGGCUUACCAAGGCUUUGACGGGUAGCCGGCCUGAGAGGGUGACCGGCCACAUUGGGACUGAGAUACGGACCAGAAUCCUACGGGAGGCAGCAGUGGGGAAUAUUGCACAAUGGGCGGAAGCCUGAUGCAGCAAAGCCGCGUGCGGGAUGACGGCCUUCGGGUUGUAAACCGCUUUCGCCUGUGACGAAGAGUGAGUGACGGUAAUGGGUAAAGAAGCACCGGCUAACUACGUG
rnacentral:rRNA from 1 species